rnacentral:lncRNA from 1 species
CCUGGCGUACUCUGGUCCAUGGGGUCACAAAGAGUUGGACACGACUUAACGACUAAACAAUGGCAAUGGGUUCAAAUGCAGGAUUCAGAGAAAAUGUAAAAUGUCAUUGAAAUCCUCCCCCUAACCAUCAUCUUAGAACUGCAGACCUGGAAAUGUCUGAAUCAGUUCAGAUUCUAGAGAGGGAGAGUACCUCUGCCUACACAAUGAGUUUUAAUGCUACUUCGCCCACCCCCCAUUAUGCGGAUUCAUUCAGUCUCUAAAUGUGAAGCGAUAAAGAAUUAUUUCAGAGUACACAGAAUGUCCCUUUUCCCCCACAGAGCACCCAGGGGCGAAUCCACACAUAUGUAGGAUGCAGGGCGGGGUCAGCUGCACUGGUAACUUCAUGAGGGAAAGUACGAAGAAGGCUUAGGUGGUUGCAGGUUAAUGCACUUUAUUUUCUUAAAUAUAAAUGAACGAAAUGAACAGUUGAGGAAGAGAAGCUGACGUUCACACCUACUUUCCGGAAACUAGUCUGAAAGCAGAACAACGAACAUUGACCCAGACGAACCCCCUUCCUUGCCCUUGUCAGGGUCUGUUGGUUAUCCACGCAGGCUUUAAUUUUGACACCAAGUCCUCUUGCAGUGAUGAUUUUCUGCAAAGUCGUUACUCUAUGCGCGCGAGGAGAAGGGUGUCGAGAGGUAAAAGAGAACCGUGUUCUUGCACCCGCUGAAAAGUCGUGCAGAGGGCAUGCUCCGCACGCCAAACUGCGACACACCCGUCGAAAAGUCCCUUUUAGCGCCAGACCACCGUCCUGCAGGAACGGCCCUUCUUCUGAGCACCGGAGGCUACAUCGAAGCUACAGAGCAUCAUGCACGUUUAAGAUCGGACAGAAAAUGUGGUGGAAAAAGUGAGAGGCACUUUUGAGGCUGAAUUUGAAGACCUGGACUCUGAUAAUAAAGCCUGGGAAUUAGAUGUUAGAGCCA